rnacentral:rRNA from 1 species
GACGAACGCUGGCGGCGUGCUUAACACAUGCAAGUCGAACGGAAAGGCCCUGCUUUUGUGGGGUGCUCGAGUGGCGAACGGGUGAGUAACACGUGAGUAACCUGCCCUUGACUUUGGGAUAACUUCAGGAAACUGGGGCUAAUACCGGAUAGGAGCUCCUGCUGCAUGGUGGGGGUUGGAAAGUUUCGGCGGUUGGGGAUGGACUCGCGGCUUAUCAGCUUGUUGGUGGGGUAGUGGCUUACCAAGGCUUUGACGGGUAGCCGGCCUGAGAGGGUGACCGGCCACAUUGGGACUGAGAUACGGCCCAGACUCCUACGUGAGGCAGCAGUGGGGAAUAUUGCACAGUGGGCGGAAGCCUGAUGCAGCAACGCCGCGUGCGGGAUGACGGCCUUCGGGUUGUAAACCGCUUUCGCCUGUGACGAAGCGUGAGUGACGGUAAUGGAUAAAGAAGCACCGGCUAACUACGUG